CCCUUCGGGGUUAGUGGCGCACGGGUGCGUAACGCGUGGGAAUCGGCCCUUAGGUACGGAAUAACUCAGCGAAAGUUGUGCUAAUACCGCAUAAUGGCGCGAGGUGGCAUCAUCUUGCGCUUAACGCAGCAAUGCGCUAGAGGAGCGGUCCAUGGCCAAUCAGCUAGUUGGCGGGGUAACGGCCCACCAAGGCGAUGACGGGUAGCCGGACUGAGAGGUUGAACGGCCACACUGGGACUGAGACACGGCCCAGACAUCUACGGAUGGCAGCAGUAGGGAAUCUUGCGCAAUGGGCGAAAGCCUGACGCAGCGACACCGCGUGGGGGAUGAAGGGCUUCGGCUUGUAAACCCCUUUCAUGAGGGAAGAACACUGACCUAACCUCAGGAAGAAGCACCGGCUAACUCCGUGCCAGCAGCUGCGGUAAUA
rnacentral:rRNA from 1 species